rnacentral:lncRNA from 1 species
UUGAACCUUAGACCUCCUGAUGUAAAAAUAUUUAUGAACAUUUACUUAAACCAUUAGUCUAAAGGGUUCCACGCUUUUUUGAACAUUUAGAAACAUUAGUUCAGAUGUAUGCUAAAUGUUCUGCUUGAAAGAGCCACACACACAUGGCAAGAAACAUUUGGCUUCUAUCUCUCUCACUCUCCCUGCUCAGCUCCAUAAAUAUAUAUAUAUAUAUAUAUAUAUAUAUAUAUUUUUUUUUUUUUACACACAAGCGUACUAUGGAAGAACCAAUGAUUAAGACCAUGAUGCUCUAUUAUGAUACUUUGUUCUGUUUUAUUACUAACUUAUACUGAUGAUAACCCGAACUAUUGUGCGGAGUGAAUCUUUAUACUAAUAUUUAUUCAUUAAAUGAUUUUAACAUUUUGCAAAACUACAAUUUUUAUCGAUUAUAAAAAUGAUGAAACAAAUGUUGCUCAUUUUAAUUAUUAUUAAGAUCUUAUAUGCACUAAAAAAUAAGUUUUGCGGCUGACACAAAUCACCAAAACCAGAAAGGCAACAUCAAUUGUGAAAUGAUGAAAGGAGAUUAGGUUUUCUGUUCUUGAUUUGUUUACUAUUGAUUCUCCAUAAAUGAUUUCAUUUUCUA